rnacentral:tRNA from 1 species
GGAGGAGAAGCGUCCCCGGUGGGGCGGCCGGCCUUCAAAGCCGGAGGGGGCCGUCAGCCGGUCUCCGGUGGGUUCGACUCCCACUCUCUUCCACCA